UGAGGAAUAUUGGGCAAUGGGGGCAACCCUGACCCAGCCAUGUCGCGUGAGUGAAGAAGGUUUUCGGAUUGUAAAGCUCUUUCGGAUGUGAAGAUAAUGACGGUAGCAUCUAAAGAAGCCCCGGCUAACUUCGUGCCAGCAGCCGCGGUAAUACGAAGGGGGCAAGCGUUGUUCGGAAUUACUGGGCGUAAAGGGAGCGUAGGUUGUCUAAAAAGAUAGAGGUGAAAUCCCGGAGCUCAACUUCGGAAUUGCCUUUAUUACUGUUAGGCUUGAAUUAUAGAGAGGAUAGUGGAAUACCCAGUGUAGAGGUGAAAUUCGUAGAUAUUGGGUAGAACACCGGUGGCGAAGGCGACUAUCUGGCUAUAUAUUGACACUGAGGCUCGAAAGCAUGGGGAUCAAACA
rnacentral:rRNA from 1 species